CAGUAGCCGCGGUAAUACGUAGGGUGCGAGCGUUAAUCGGAAUUACUGGGCGUAAAGCGUGCGCAGGCGGUUUUGUAAGACAGAGGUGAAAUCCCCGGGCUCAACCUGGGAACUGCCUUUGUGACUGCAAGGCUAGAGUACGGCAGAGGGGGAUGGAAUUCCGCGUGUAGCAGUGAAAUGCGUAGAUAUGCGGAGGAACACCGAUGGCGAAGGCAAUCCCCUGGGCCUGUACUGACGCUCAUGCACGAAAGCGUGGGGAGCAAACAGGAUUAGAUACCCGAGUAGUCCCUGUCUCUUAUAC
rnacentral:rRNA from 1 species